rnacentral:rRNA from 1 species
UGCCAGCCGCCGCGGUAAUACGUAGGGCGCAAGCGUUGUCCGGAAUUAUUGGGCGUAAAGAGCUCGUAGGCGGUUUGUCGCGUCUGCUGUGAAAGCCCGGGGCUCAACCCCGGGUCUGCAGUGGGUACGGGCAGACUAGAGUGCAGUAGGGGAGACUGGAAUUCCUGGUGUAGCGGUGAAAUGCGCAGAUAUCAGGAGGAACACCGAUGGCGAAGGCAGGUCUCUGGGCUGUUACUGACGCUGAGGAGCGAAAGCAUGGGGAUCGAACAGGAUUAGAUA